rnacentral:lncRNA from 1 species
GCGGAUAAAACCUUUAUCUAAGAGUUCCUGAAGUUGUUUAUGUAACUCUGCUAAUUCUACUCCUCCCAUUCUAUAAGGAGUAAUAGAAAUAGGUUGUGUGUCAAGCAUAGGAUCAAUAGAGAACUCUAUUUUAAUCUAAAUGGUCAAGGCACCAUUACAACCCAUCUUUGCUUAUCAGUAGUAUAUCCCUAAAGUAUCCCUACUCAACAUAAAGCAACAAGUAAUUCUCAUUCCAAGGUAUGUUUAACUGCACAUCUGUUAACAACCAUUUAUAUAUAUAUAUACACCAUUCCCUUGUAAGGUUCAAUCAUCAUGUUCUAUAUAAUCCGGAAAGAAAAGAAAGUACCCAUAAUACAAGUAUAUCAACUCAAUUUUGUGUGUGUUUGUGAAAGUAUAAUCAUGUGUUAUCACUCUCAGCACUCUUUGUGACCUUUAUAUGUUGGGAUCUGUUAUUGAUAAUUCUUGUUUUUAUUCCUACUUCACCAGAUCUGUAAUAAAAAUAGUAAUGAGCUACACAUAUCCACUAAAUCAAAUUUAGAAUUGAAAACUAGCGAGAUGAAAUUAGUAUCACCUGUAUUCAAGAAUUACUCUCACUAUACUCCCACUCCAACAACCCUUAUUCACCCACUUCUGUUAAACUUCUAGAAUUUCUCUGCCCUCGGUUUUUGUUAAUAUAACACACUUACACCUGAACCAAUCUCAUAAUGGAGCCUUUGUAUUCCCUACAAUCUCUCUUCCCAGGAUAUACUCUCCACUAUCACUAAAGUUAUAUUUUGUCUCUGCCCAUACCUGACGACUCCUUAAAUUCACUUCUAGCCAAUCCCCUCCUAGUACUAAUAUCCCAUUCACAGUAGACUUUGAAUCUCAUACGCCUAUAUUAACACCCCACCCACAACAUACUUUAAAUCUCAUAUAUACAAAAUUAACAACCCACUCACACAGACUUUAAAUGUUAUUUAUCCAUAAUUAUACUCAAAACUCACAUAUUCUACAUAGCAAAGUACCAGUGCAUUACCAGAACAAAUACACACCACACGACCCAAAAACGGGCCACACAUGCAGCUCCCAUUGGAGCGCACAAUUCUGGAAAUAAAAUGGAAAAUAGAAAUUCAAAUGUAAAACACAUAUUUAUUAUGCACAUUUCGACCACUGGGUGGCCACUCACCCACACAUAUCUGUUCCACCCGUCAGAACCAGGAAUUAUCUCCCUAGAUUUUGGUUUCUUUCACUAUUUUUAUUUUUCUACAUACACCCACAAGAUUUCUCUAUGUUUUGCUUUCCCGUUCUUUUACCUAUUUUCUAUCCAUCAUUCUUAGCCCUUUGUCAUUUCCCUUACUUGUUGCCCUCACUGUCUGAAGAUCUGUCUCCCAUUUUCUGCUAUCUGCACCUUUCUCUCUUCAUUUUCUCAAAUCCUAUAGUCAAGUCUAAAUUAGGGUGUGUUUAGCUCCCACUUCUACUCCUAUUUUUCUUCUUCUCGUCUUAAUUCUACCAAACUAUUUAGCAAUUUCACCUUGAACUUUCACCCAAACUCCCAACUAUUUUCUGGAUAAUACAACUUCCUCUCCCUAACCCCUCUAAUAUAUCAUUCUCCACGUACACUCUUUCUUUAUUCCUUAUUUCUCUCUCUCUCUCUCUCUCUCUCUCUCUCUUUUUGCGAGAACAUUUUCACUAUUUCGUUUUCCUUAACUCCUAGUAAACAUACAUCAUAUCUGAUACAAGAAUUGAAUGUACAAAUCUCAAAUUCAGGGUUGGAAUUUAAAUUUGUCUUACCUCUUGCUCCCGAAUGGGUUUUCAUUUUCAGUAAUAGUCUUCUUCGGACCCUUCUCAUCCUUGCUGAUUUUCGAUGAAAAUUCCUCCUUCUAAUCCUCUGUAAAUCAUUAUGCCCAUCCUCUCUCCGAUCAACCUCCUAUCUCUCACUCCCUCUCGGCCUCUCUCAAUGCAGCUUGCCUCCUCUUUUAUACUAGGUUCAAAAGAUCGUAGCCGUUGAAAGAAUUUAUGUCAUCCCAAUCGUCCAUCGUAGGAUCUAUUAAUCUGUACCGUUUGAGAUGCUUGGUCAACACCACUUAGACUCAUUUGAGUUAUUCUUCACUCUGGUGAAGUGUUCACCUACACACAUGGCAGAGUCUGAUUGGCUCUCUAGCUCAAUGACUUACAUGUUUGCUUUUUGGGCCUUUAUAAU